UGGGACAAGUUAGGAUUGUAUUCGGUGGGAUCAACCGCUCAGUGUGGGAUUUGGUGAGGGGAAGGCAUGCGGCUUACAGAGAGGAGGAGAGAGAGAGAGAGAGGGGGAGGGAGAGAGCGUUCUGCAGCACGCUAGCAGUUUUCGUUCAGAUCCAGGUCACUUCUCUCUAUGGUGGUCCCUUAGAGUUUACGUUUAUCGUGCAAAGCACAGAAGACCCUGCUUAUCGCGCUGUAUCUAUGCUACUAUCAGAGCUUAAGGACGAGGUUGAUGUUAAGAUUGUUGUGGCUGGUAUUUCAACCACCUGCGGUCAGAAAAUUCACAACCAAUUGCAAAAAACCUUGGGCGAGCAAACAGGCAUAACCAAUUCUGCCAGAAUUGCUGGAGAAUUCCACAACCAAGGUCAUCGAGUACGGCCGGAAGCAUGUUGAGGGUCGAGACGGCGAUAGCACCGAUGUUGGCAAGAGCGGCGACCCCUUUUCAAGGUACGGUCUUCACUGAUUUGAAGUUUUAGUUUGUUUGUGAUUUUUUUUCUUUUGGAUUUGUAAUUUAUCCUUUUGUACCUGACAAUUUGUGAUCCAAAAUUUUUUUCGCGCGUUUUGAUUUUCCUUUGAAUUUAUAUGGGUUUAGAUUUUUAUUGUUAAUUUACUGAUGUUGGGGGAUCAUUUUGGCUUCUAGAUUGGUUUGAACAUUUUUAUGUCUUUGUUUUUUCCUUUGUGUAGUUUUAGUCAGAUUGAAGUGUUCUUUGUAAUUUGAGAUUUAAUUGAUGUGUUUAGGAUUAUCUACAUAUAUAUAUAUAUAUAUAUAUAUAUAAUCAAUGUUGAAAUUUUAAACUAAAUCACUAUGCUGCAAUCAAACCCACAGAUUGUUGGGUCCAAAAAAAGGAGUGAACAACAUGAAAUUGGCUUUGGGUAAGCUUCCACUCUCUUCUGUGUAUGAUCUCUUUGAGAAGUGAUUUUGGUUUGUGCUUUCAAAAAAGAUGAUGGCAAUUUCAUAUUUGGACAGAGAAAACAAUAGGCAUGUAUAAUGAAGUGGAAUUUUUCAUGGUAUUAUCAACAUGCAUGUUAUAAAAAAUUCUUCAUUUAAUUUUUGGGUUGUGUGUUUUGUGCUGUUUCAUUAGUGACUUGUGUGUUUUGUUGUAUCUGAUUCCGGUAUCUGAUUCGAGUAUACGUCAUUGAAGAGUGUUAAUGAAUCCAAACAUGGGUAUUGAGGUGUUCUUGCUAGAAAAGCCAAAGACAUUCUUGACGAUGAUGAUAAUGGAGUUCUGGAUUAUGAUUCACCCCGAACAACAAGGAUGGAUAUGCUGUCUAUGCCAACAAGGGGGUAAGGCUAUGUUGGAGCAAAAACUGUGCAGGCAAAGACAUAAGAGUGAUGGAUUUUGGAAUGAAAUGCAGAGGAUAUCAUUUUGUGCUGCUUAAGGGUCUAUAUGCACAGGAGAACUCAAAAGGUUUUAAAGGAUCCUUUGCAGAUGCAGGAUCUUCUGCUAAGUUUUGUCCGGAUUGUGUGAACCGUUGCUUCAGCCAAAACAGGAACAACAGGGAUUGUAGACUACACAAACUUGGAAGAUAUGAAGUUGGUGAAGGACAUGGGGAGAAGAGCACUUAUGAAAUGGUAAGGUGCACAAAUAUGGGAAAAGCACGACAGGGGAAAGCUGGGAUAUUGUUGUGGAUGAGGAGACCUAUUACGAGGCUGAGCUGUGAAUUAAACCUCGAGAAAGGCCACCUGGCGUCUACCCUGCCCUUGAUUUUGGAUCGUCGUCGCUUUCAGUUGAUGAACCACCAGAUGAAUUUUCUCUAAUAUCGUGCGGCUCAAAAAAUUUUGUAUGUGUUUACGUGUAUUUUUGUGCUCUGAAUAAUUCUAAUCAAAUUCCAUUGCUCUCCUAAGCUAAAGUCAGAAUUUGUAGCAUAUAAGGGAAGGUUAGCAGAUACUUGCCAAUUAUCCAAAGCUGGAUAUUAAGGUCUUUAAGCUUAAUAUCUUUUUGUAGGUGUAGCAUCUGCUUGGAAAAAGGUUUCAACUUUAAUGUCUGUAUGUGUCAUUACUCUUCACUGAUUGUGAAGAACCAGGAUUGAAGAAAAGCAUCCUUUAAAGUUUAAACUGGAAGGGGGCAGGUUAUAAAUUACAGAAUGCACGGGCUAAUUGUGUUUGCAUCCUAGCUAGCUACGAAGGGUCUUUAGUCUUAGCCACGACUUGUAUGAAGGACUGUUCCCAGUUCCUGGUGGGGUUGUGAAUAUGACUGGUCUUAAAGUUCUGUCUCUACAGAUGGACUAGCUUCUUAAAUGGCAGUAUGUAUAGUUCAACCCUUCUUAUCAUCUUUGAGUAAGAAAAAUCAAAGCUUUAAUUAUUCUGCAUGACUUUUCAUGCAUUCACCAUCGUGUGAAUACAUCAGAGUUUUUGGCCAAAUUUUCCACAUAAAAUUUAGAGAGUUUUAACGAAAUACUCCUGGUACUCAGUCUUAGCUACGACUUGUAUGAAGGACUGUUCCCAGUUCCUGUUGGGGUUGUCAAUAUGACUGGUCUUAAAGUUCUGUCCCUACAGAUGGACUAGCUACUUACAUGGCCGUAUGUACAGUUCAACCCUUCUUAUCAUCUUUGAGCAAGAAAAAUCAAAGCUUUAAUUAUUCUGUGUGACUUUUCAUGCAUUCACCAUCGUUUAUGGUUUUACCAACUACACAAACUGAGUCGUUUUUGCUCUUAUCUGUGGGAGUUUUAUGAGUUGUAUCUGGUGUGCCUUGCCAUGAAUAGUGAAGGAUCAUUGACUCUCUACUUCUUAGCAGUAGCUGGAUAGUCUUUCAUAUACAAUUGGAUCAUGAUAAUGUUUUGAGGCAUUUCAAAUUAUUCCACAUGUAAAUAGUUUUGAAUUCAGAGUUUAGUCUUUCAAUUUCAAGCUGGCA